UACGUAGGGUGCAAGCGUUGUCCGGAAUUAUUGGGCGUAAAGAGCUCGUAGGUGGCCUGUCGCGUCGGCUGUGAAAACUCGGGGCUCAACUCCGAGCUUGCAGUCGAUACGGGCAGGCUAGAGUUCGGCAGGGGAGACUGGAAUCCUGGUGUAGCGGUGAAAUGCGCAGAUAUCAGGAGGAACACCGGUGGCGAAGGCGGGUCUCUGGGCCGAUACUGACACUGGAGGAGCGAAAGCGUGGGGAGCGAAC
rnacentral:rRNA from 1 species